UCAGAUUCAAAGUUUCAAGUGUGGAAAUAUUAGAAAAUGAACAAGGGAUGGAACCAGUGAAUCUAUUAUUUCCAAGAUUUAAAACUUCAAGUUUGUGUAAGAACCCAAACCAAGAAGGAACCUCCCCUCUAAAGUUGUUCAAACUUAAAUCAAGAUACUUAAGCCGACGCAAGUGUGCUAUUUCUUGAGGCAAAUUUCCAUGGAAAUUGUUGCUUCUCAAGACAAGAGAAACAAGAAAUGUGAGGUUUCCUAAAUCACGGGGGAUCCUUCCUGUAAGAGCCAUGUUGGAAAGAUUCAAGGACUUCACUCAAGACAAGAGAAACAAGAAAUGUGAGGUUUCCUAAAUCACGGGGGAUCCUUCCUGUAAGAGCCAUGCUGGAAAGAUUCAAGGACUUCACUCUGUGAUGACGAGAGUCACAUGUGAUUCCUACCCAAUGGCAAACAGAAGUAGUGGGAGACCAACUAUCAUCCAAGAAAUGAAAGGGGUCCGAAAUAAUUUGAGAUUUUAAAGAAAAAAGAGUUAACUGAUCCGUAGAAACAUUGGCAAGAGUCAUGACUGAACUAGGCAUAACAAAGUGAAACAACAAGAGUAGUGUUAAAAGAAAAGAUCUCAAGGCUUUCUCCAUAUGUAAAAUUAUUAGUAGUAGGAAAAUGGUAUUACUAGCAGACUGUUCUUUUGAAUCUUUUUUAAAAGGGGAAAAGGAAAAACAUAUCAGCAUUAAUGCAACUAAAUUAUUGUUUCAAUGAAACAAAAAAAAUGUGUCUUUUAUUGGUUGUUGUGAGUUUGAUAUCAAGUGUUGAAACCACUCAUUUUAAAUAAAUAGAUAAAUUUUCCAAGUUAUGUGGGGCAUAAAUUUGACUCAUGUCGUCAAUAUGGUAGACUGAUAAUAAUUGGUGCAAUAUCAUGUUAAACUAUUGGUGCUGUAUCAUG
rnacentral:lncRNA from 1 species